CCUACGGGAGGCAGCAGUGGGGAAUAUUGCACAAUGGGGGAAACCCUGAUGCAGCCACGCCGCGUGAGUGAAGAAGUAUUUCGGUAUGUAAAGCUCUAUCAGCAGAGAAGAAGAAAGACGGUACCUGACUAAGAAGCCCCAGCUAACUACGUUCCAGCAGCCGCGGUAAUACGUAGGGGGCAAGCGUUAUCCGGAUGUACGGGGAUUAAAGGGAGCGUAGACGGCUGUGCAAGUCUGAGGUGAAAGCCCGUGGCUCAACCGCGGAACUGCUUUUGAAACUGUAUAGCUUGAGUACUGGAGAGGCAGGCGGAAUUCCUUGUGUAGCGGUGAAAUGCGUAGAUAUUAGGAGGAACAGCAGUGGCGAAGGCAGCCUGCUGGACAGAAACUGACGUUGAGGCUCGAAAGCGUGGGGAGCAAACAGGAUUAGAUACCCCUGUAGUC
rnacentral:rRNA from 1 species